AGCGUAGUUCGGAAUUACUGGGCUUAAAGAGUUCGUAGGUGGUUAAAAAAGUUGGUGGUGAAAGCCCAGAGCUUAACUCUGGAACUGCCAUCAAAACUUUUUAGCUAGAGUAUGAUAGAGGAAAGCAGAAUUUCUAGUGUAGAGGUGAAAUUCGUAGAUAUUAGAAAGAAUACCAAUUGCGAAGGCAGCUUUCUGGAUCAUUACUGACACUGAGGAACGAAAGCAUGGGUAGCGAAGAGGAUUAGAUACCCUCGUAGUCCAUGCCGUAAACGAUGUGUGUUAGAUGUUGGAAAUUUAUUUUCAGUAUCGCAGCGAAAGCGAUAAACACACCGCCUGGGGAGUACGACCGCAAGGUUAAAACUCAAAUGAAUUGACGGGGACCCGCACAAGUAGUGGAGCAUGUGGUUUAAUUCGAAGAUACGCGCAGAACCUUACCAACACUUGACAUGUUCGUCGCGACUUUAAGAGAUUAAAGUUUUCGGUUCGGCCGGACGAAACACAGGUGCUGCAUGGCUGUCGUCAGCUCGUGUCGUGAGAUGUUGGGUUAAGUCCCGCAACGAGCGCAACCCUUACUUUUAGUUGCCAUCAUUUAGUUGGGCACUCUGAAAGAACUGCCAGUGAUAAGCUGGAGGAAGGUGGGGAUGACGUCAAGUCCUCAUGGCCCUUACGUGUUGGGCUACACACGUGCUACAAUGGCAUUUACAAUAGGAAGCAAGACGGCGACGUUAAGCAAAUCCUAAAAAAAUGCCUCAGUUCGGAUUGUACUCUGCAACUCGAGUACAUGAAGCUGGAAUUACUAGUAAUCGCGGAUCAGCGCGCCGCGGUGAAUGCGUUCCCGGGUCUUGUACACACCGCCCGUCACACCAUGGGAGUUGGUUCUACCUUAAGGCAAAGCUUAAAAACUUGAC
rnacentral:rRNA from 1 species